rnacentral:tRNA from 1 species
GCUCAAUUGGUAGAGCGCUCCACCUGUAAUGGAGAGGUCCCGGGUUCGAUACCCGGACCAGGCG